GCAGGUUGAAGCGCGGGUAAGACCGCGUGGAGGACCGAACCCACCUGGGUUGAAAACCGGGGGGAUGACCUGGGGCUAGGGGUGAAAGGCCAAUCAAAUUCCGUGAUAGCUGGUUCUCUCCGAAAUGCAUUUAGGUGCAGCGUCGGUUGAUUGCAUCGCGGGGGUAGAGCUACUGGAUGCUUGCGGGCCCGUGUCGGGUACCAAUAGCAGCCAAACUCCGAAUACCGUGGAUGUGUAUUCCGGCAGUGAGUCGGCGGGGGAUAAGCUCCGUCGUCGAGAGGGAGACAGCCCAGAUCGUCGUCUAAGGUCCCGAAGCGUGUGCUAAGUGGGAAAGGAUGUGGAGUCGCAUAGACAGCCAGGAGGUUGGCUCAGAAGCAGCCAUCCUUGAAAGAGUGCGUAACAGCUCACUGGUCUAGUGGUUCCGCGCCGACAAUGUAGCGGGGCUCAAGCACACCACCGAAGACGCGGCAGCGGCCUUUGCGGCCGUUGGGUAGGAGAGCGUCCCGCGUGGGGCGAAGCGGCCGGGGAACCGUGCCGUGGACCGCGCGGGAGUGAGAAUGCAGACAUGAGUAGCGAGAGACGGGUGAGGAUCCCGUCCGCUGGAUGACCAAGGGUUCCGGGGCCACGUUCGUCGUCCCCGGGUGAGUCGGGUCCUAAGGCGAGGCCGACAGGCGUAGUCGAAUGGAUGAACGGGUGGAUAUUCCCGUACCGGCGGCGUACCGUAAGAGCCGAACGGAUGAGUACUAACCUCCGGUCGCGUGGCGUCGUUCCCUUCGGGGUUCGGGGUCCGCGGUCGUUGGGAGCGUAGUCCCGGUAGGCUAGCGCACAGGGGUGACACGGAAUGGGAGCCGGCCGCGGAGGUGGUUUUCCGUGGUCAAGCACGCAGCCCGUCCCAUAGGCAAAUCCGUGGGACGCAUAGGGUGAGGUGUGAUGAUGGGCGUCCUUUGGACGCGAUAUCCGGUGGUCCAGGCCGUCGAGAAAAGCCUCGGCGCGAGGGGCGUCGCCGCCCGUACCCCAAACCGACACUGGUGGUCAGGUAGAGAAUACCAAGGCGAUCGAGCGAAUCCUGGUCAAGGAACUCGGCAAAUCACUCCCGUGCCUUCGGUAUAAGGGAGACCCCCGGGCGUGAAGAGGCUUGCCCUCGGAGCGUUGGGGGGUGGCACAGACCAGGGGGUAGCGACUGUUUACCAAAAACACAGGUGCAUGCGAAGGCGCAAGCCGCUGUAUAUGCACUGACGCCUGCCCGGUGCCGGAAGGUUAAGAGGAUCCGUCAGCCCCUUUUGGGGUGAAGCGGUGAAUUCAAGCCCCGGUAAACGGCGGUGGUAACUAUAACCAUCCUAAGGUAGCGAAAUUCCUUGUCGGGUAAGUUCCGACCUGCACGAAUGGCGUAA
rnacentral:rRNA from 1 species